GCUAUGGUAAUUCAGUUGGUAGAAUGUUUGACUCAUAACCCAGGUGUAGCAGGUUUGAUACCUGACUAGCCUUGCC